ensembl:rRNA 5S_rRNA 5S ribosomal RNA
UUUUAUGGCCAUAUCACCCUGCAACUCACAACUGACUGAAACUAAGCAGGUGUGAGCCUGGUCAGUACCUGUAUGGGAGACCACCUGGGAAAGCUAAGGUUGCUGCUGGAA